rnacentral:rRNA from 1 species
GGGAAGUGCGAACGUAGAGGGUGAUAUUCCCGUACACGAAAGGGCACACAUAAUGAUGACGAGUAGGGCGAGGCACGUGAAACCUUGUCUGAAUAUGGGGGGACCAUCCUCCAAGGCUAAAUACUCCUGACUGACCGAUAGUGAACCAGUACCGUGAGGGAAAGGCGAAAAGAACCCCUGUGAGGGGAGUGAAAUAGAUCCUGAAACCGCAUGCAUACAAGCAGUGGGAGCACCUUCGUGGUGUGACUGCGUACCUUUUGUAUAAUGGGUCAGCGACUUAUAUUCAGUAGCGAGGUUAACCGUAUAGGGGAGCCGUAGAGAAAUCGAGUCUUAAUAGGGCGUUUAGUUGCUGGGUAUAGACCCGAAACCAGGCGAUCUAUCCAUGAGCAGGUUGAAGGUUGGGUAACACUAACUGGAGGACCGAACCCACUGUCGUUGAAAAGCCAGGGGAUGACUUGUGGAUAGGGGUGAAAGGCUAAUCAAGCCUGGUGAUAGCUGGUUCUCCCCGAAAGCUAUUUAGGUAGCGCCUCGGACGAAUACCAUAGGGGGUAGAGCACUGUUUCGGCUAGGGGGUCAUCCCGACUUACCAAACCGAUGCAAACUCCGAAUACCUAUGAGUACUAUCCGGGAGACAGACUGCGGGUGCUAACGUCCGUAGUCAAGAGGAAAACAAUCCAGACCGCCAGCUAAGGCCCCAAAAUCAUAGUUAAGUGGGAAACGAUGUGGGAAGGCAUAGACAGCUAGGAGGUUGGCUUAGAAGCAGCCACCCUUUAAAGAAAGCGUAAUAGCUCACUAGUCGAGUCGGCCUGCGCGGAAGAUGUAACGGGGCUAAAACUAUGUGCCGAAGCUGCGGAUGUAUACUUUGUAUACGUGGUAGGGGAGCGUUCUGUAAGCCGAUGAAGGUGUGUUGAGAAGCAUGCUGGAGGUAUCAGAAGUGCGAAUGCUGACGUGAGUAACGACAAAACGGGUGAAAAACCCGUUCGCCGAAAGACCAAGGGUUCCAGUCCAACGUUAAUCGGGGCUGGGUGAGUCGACCCCUAAGGCGAGGCCGAAAGGCGUAGUCGAUGGGAAAAUGGUUAAUAUUCCAUUACUUCUGUGUAAUGCGAUGAGAGGACGGAGAAGGCUAAAUCAGCCUGGCGUUGGUUGUCCAGGUGAAAGGAUGUAGGCAUGUAUCUUAGGCAAAUCCGGGGUACUCUAUGCUGAGAUCUGAUAGCAAGCUGUACUUGUACAGCGAAGUGGUUGAUGCCAUGCUUCCAGGAAAAGUCUCUAAGCUUCAGUUACACAGGAAUCGUACCCGAAACCGACACAGGUGGUCAGGUCGAGUAGACCAAGGCGCUUGAGAGAACUCUGCUGAAGGAACUAGGCAAAAUGGUACCGUAACUUCGGGAGAAGGUACGCUGUUGUUGGUGAUGGAACUCGCUUCCUGAGCUGACGACAGCCGCAGAAACCAGGCCGCUGCAACUGUUUAUUAAAAACAUAGCACUCUGCAAACACGAAAGUGGACGUAUAGGGUGUGAUGCCUGCCCGGUGCUGGAAGGUUAAUUGAUGGGGUUAGCGUAAGCGAAGCUCUUGAUCGAAGCCCCAGUAAACGGCGGCCGUAACUAUAACGGUCCUAAGGUAGCGAAAUUCCUUGUCGGGUAAGUUCCGACCUGCACGAAUGGCAUAAUGAUGGCGGCGCUGUCUCCAGCAGAGGCUCAGUGAAAUCGAAAUCGCU